rnacentral:rRNA from 1 species
ACGAACGCUGGCGGCGCGCUUAACACAUGCAAGUCGAGCGAUGAAAUUUCGACAGAUCCCUUCGGGGUGAAGAUGAAAUGGAUUAGCGGCGGACGGGUGAGUAACACGUGAGUAACCUGCCUUUGACAUUGGGAUAGCCUCGGGAAACUGGGAUUAAUACCAAAUGACACUAACUGAUCACAUGAUCAAUUAGUCAAAGAAAUUCGGUCAAAGAUGGACUCGCGGCUGAUUAGCUAGUUGGUGAGGUAACGGCCCACCAAGGCGACGAUCAGUAGCCGGCCUGAGAGGGUGAUCGGCCACAUUGGAACUGCGACACGGUCCAAACUCCUACGGGAGGCAGCAGUGGGGAAUAUUGCACAAUGGGGGAAACCCUGAUGCAGCGACGCCGCGUGAGCGAAGAAGGCCUUCGGGUCGUAAAGCUCUUUUAUGAGGGAAGAUAAUGACGGUACCUCAAGAAAAAGCCCCGGCUAACUACGUG